GACGAACGCUGGCGGCGUGCUUAACACAUGCAAGUCGAACGGAAAGGCCCUGCUUGCAGGGUACACGAGUGGCGAACGGGUGAGUAACACGUGGGUGAUCUGCCCUGCACUUCGGGAUAAGCCUGGGAAACUGGGUCUAAUACCGGAUAGGAGCCAUUUUUAGUGUGAUGGUUGGAAAGUUUUUUCGGUGUAGGAUGAGCUCGCGGCCUAUCAGCUUGUUGGUGGGGUAAUGGCCUACCAAGGCGGCGACGGGUAGCCGGCCUGAGAGGGUGGACGGCCACAUUGGGACUGAGAUACGGCCCAGACUCCUACGGGAGGCAGCAGUGGGGAAUAUUGCACAAUGGGCGCAAGCCUGAUGCAGCGACGCCGCGUGGGGGAUGACGGCCUUCGGGUUGUAAACUCCUUUCGCUAGGGACGAAGCUUUUUGUGACGGUACCUAGAUAAGAAGCACCGGCUAACUACGUG
rnacentral:rRNA from 1 species